UCUUUUAGAUAUUGGGUAGGGGAGCGUUCUGUAAGCCGUUGAAGGUGAAUCGUAAGGUUUGCUGGAGGUAUCAGAAGUGCGAAUGCUGACAUGAGUAACGACAAAGGGGGUGAAAAACCUCCUCGCCGGAAGACCAAGGGUUCCUGUCCAACGUUAAUCGGGGCAGGGUGAGUCGACCCCUAAGGUGAGGCCGAAAGGCGUAAUCGAUGGGAAACGGGUUAAUAUUCCCGUACUUCUGACUAUUGCGAUGGGGGGACGGAGAAGGCUAGGUGGGCCAGGCGACGGUUGUCCUGGUUCAAGUGCGUAGGCUUGAGAGUUAGGUAAAUCCGGCUCUCUCUAAGGCUGAGACACGACGUCGAGCUGCUACGGCAGUGAAGUCAUUGAUGCCAUGCUUCCAGGAAAAGCCUCUAAGCUUCAGAUAGUCAGGAAUCGUACCCCAAACCGACACAGGUGGUCGGGUAGAGAAUACCAAGGCGCUUGAGAGAACUCGGGUGAAGGAACUAGGCAAAAUGGUACCGUAACUUCGGGAGAAGGUACGCUCUUGAUGGUGAAGUCCCUCGCGGAUGGAGCUGACGAGAGUCGCAGAUACCAGGUGGCUGCAACUGUUUAUUAAAAACACAGCACUGUGCAAAAUCGCAAGAUGACGUAUACGGUGUGACGCCUGCCCGGUGCCGGAAGGUUAAUUGAUGGGGUUAGCGCAAGCGAAGCUCUUGAUCGAAGCCCCGGUAAACGGCGGCCGUAACUAUAACGGUCCUAAGGUAGCGAAAUUCCUUGUCGGGUAAGUUCCGACCUGCACGAAUGGCGUAAUGAUGGCCACGCUGUCUCCACCCGAGACUCAGUGAAAUUGAAAUCGCUGUGAAGAUGCAGUGUACCCGCGGCUAGACGGAAAGACCCCGUGAACCUUUACUACAGCUUGGCACUGAACAUUGAACCUACAUGUGUAGGAUAGGUGGGAGGCUAUGAAGACGUGACGCCAGUUGCGUUGGAGCCGUCCUUGAAAUACCACCCUUGUAUGUUUGAUGUUCUAACUUAGACCCAUUAUCUGGGUUGAGGACAGUGCCUGGUGGGUAGUUUGACUGGGGCGGUCUCCUCCCAAAGAGUAACGGAGGAGCACGAAGGUGGGCUAAUCACGGUUGGACAUCGUGAGGUUAGUGCAAUGGCAUAAGCCCGCUUAACUGCGAGAAUGACGGUUCGAGCAGGUGCGAAAGCAGGUCAUAGUGAUCCGGUGGUUCUGUAUGGAAGGGCCAUCGCUCAACGGAUAAAAGGUACUCCGGGGAUAACAGGCUGAUACCGCCCAAGAGUUCAUAUCGACGGCGGUGUUUGGCACCUCGAUGUCGGCUCAUCACAUCCUGGGGCUGAAGUCGGUCCCAAGGGUAUGGCUGUUCGCCAUUUAAAGUGGUACGCGAGCUGGGUUUAGAACGUCGUGAGACAGUUCGGUCCCUAUCUGCCGUGGGCGUUGGAAGAUUGAAGGGGGCUGCUCCUAGUACGAGAGGACCGGAGUGGACGAACCUCUGGUGUUCGGGUUGUGUCGCCAGACGCAUUGCCCGGUAGCUAAGUUCGGAAUUGAUAAGCGCUGAAAGCAUCUAAGCGCGAAGCGAGCCCUGAGAUGAGUCUUCCCUGAUACUUUAAGUAUCCUAAAGGGUUGUUCGAGACUAGAACGUUGAU
rnacentral:rRNA from 1 species